GACUAACGCUGGCGGCGUGCCUAAUACAUGCAAGUCGAACGGGAUUCUUUGAUCAGUUUGCUGAGAGAAGGAUCUAGUGGCGGACGGGUGAGUAACGCGUGGGAAUCUGCCUCUUACUGGGGGAUAACAGUGGGAAACUACUGCUAAUACCGCAUAAGAUCUUCGGAUGAAAGGUGCAACUGCACCGGUAAGAGAUGAGCCCGCGUCCCAUUAGCUAGUUGGUGAGGUAAAGGCUCACCAAGGCGACGAUGGGUAGCCGGCCUGAGAGGGUGAACGGCCACACUGGGACUGAGACACGGCCCAGACUCCUACGGGAGGCAGCAGUAGGGAAUCUUCCGCAAUGGGCGCAAGCCUGACGGAGCGACGCCGCGUGAGUGAUGAAGGCCUUCGGGUCGUAAAGCUCUGUUCUUGAGGACGGAAUAAGCCAGGGAGUGGAAAGCCCUGGUGAUGACUGUACUCAAGGAGAAAGCUCCGGCUAACUACGUGCC
rnacentral:rRNA from 1 species